rnacentral:rRNA from 1 species
CUUCUUUCCUCCCGAGUGCUUGCACUCAAUUGGAAAGAGGAGUGGCGGACGGGUGAGUAACACGUGGGUAACCUACCCAUCAGAGGGGGAUAACACUUGGAAACAGGUGCUAAUACCGCAUAACAGUUUAUGCCGCAUGGCAUAAGAGUGAAAGGCGCUUUCGGGUGUCGCUGAUGGAUGGACCCGCGGUGCAUUAGCUAGUUGGUGAGGUAACGGCUCACCAAGGCCACGAUGCAUAGCCGACCUGAGAGGGUGAUCGGCCACACUGGGACUGAGACACGGCCCAGACUCCUACGGGAGGCAGCAGUAGGGAAUCUUCGGCAAUGGACGAAAGUCUGACCGAGCAACGCCGCGUGAGUGAAGAAGGUUUUCGGAUCGUAAAACUCUGUUGUUAGAGAAGAACAAGGACGUUAGUAACUGAACGUCCCCUGACGGUAUCUAACCAGAAAGCCACGGCUAACUACGUGCCAGCAGCCGCGGUAAUACGUAGGUGGCAAGCGUUGUCCGGAUUUAUUGGGCGUAAAGCGAGCGCAGGCGGUUUCUUAAGUCUGAUGUGAAAGCCCCCGGCUCAACCGGGGAGGGUCAUUGGAAACUGGGAGACUUGAGUGCAGAAGAGGAGAGUGGAAUUCCAUGUGUAGCGGUGAAAUGCGUAGAUAUAUGGAGGAACACCA